UACGUAGGUGGCAAGCGUUGUCCGGAUUUAUUGGGCGUAAAGGGCUCGUAGGCGGCGUGUCGCGUCGGGAGUGAAAGCCCGCUGCUUAACGGCGGGUUGGCUUCCGGUACGGGCAUCGCUGGAGUGCGGCAGGGGAGACUGGAAUUCCUGGUGUAGCAGUGAAAUGCGUAGAUAUCAGGAGGAACACCGAUGGCGAAGGCAGGUCUCUAGGCUGACACUGACGCUCAUGCACGAAAGCGUGGGGAGCAAACAGG
rnacentral:rRNA from 1 species